UACGAAGGGGGCUAGCGUUGCUCGGAAUUACUGGGCGUAAAGCGCACGUAGGCGGCUUGCUAAGUCAGGGGUGAAAUCCUGGAGCUCAACUCCAGAACUGCCCUUGAUACUGGCGGUCUCGAGUCCGGGAGAGGUGAGUGGAACUGCGAGUGUAGAGGUGAAAUUCGUAGAUAUUCGGAAGAACACCAGUGGCGAAGGCGGCUCACUGGACUGGUAUUGACGCUGAGGUGCGAAAGCGUGGGGAGCAAACAGG
rnacentral:rRNA from 1 species